GAAAAUUUUCAAGUGGCAUUCAGACAACAGAUAUGAAAAACCAUUGUCUGAGGCUCUGAGCCUCGCUCUGAGGGCUUGUCCAUGAAUUAAACGAGGGCUUCUUAAUGUUAUUCAAAACCACGCCACCUAGCCUAUACUUCAUUUUGGGAACGAAAGAAUUGACAAACCCCAACCUUAUCUCCUUGAGAAACCCCUUCUUCGACAGACCUCGAGUCCUCGACCCUCUCCCUCUCCCUUCUUCGACACAAGUCUCCCCCGUCUUCUUGACAAGCCCUAACCUUAUCUCCUCCAGAGACCCCGACCCUAUCUCUUCUUCGACAAACCCCAACCAAAGCUCUCUCUCUCUUUGACGAAUCCCGACCAAAACCAUCUCUGCCUCUAGAUUGAAAACCUAAUGGGUAGCCUGGAGAGAGCCCUAGAUUGGAAGCCAUCUCUUCUCCAAUUCUUCGAAUCUCUUUCUCUCACAGUUCAUUUUGGUCUCUCUACGUAGGAGCAGAAGAACCUGAAGGGUGAGCUCCUUCGACCCCAUGAACGGGUGAAGAGGAUCCAGUCGGUGCCUAGCACAGAUGACGAACAACCUCAUCGCAGCGCUCUAGCUCCAAAGCUGAUCCCUCCCGAAAGUUUUCUCUGCAGAAGAGCGAAGAAUGUUGCAAAAUGUAGAGUGGAACAGCUUUGCCCCUUCCCCUAUGACCUCAUCCAGCAAGAGCUGUAGCGAUAUCCUACCACACCUUUUGGCCUUGUUUUCCAUUGACUUGUUUCUUUAACUGAUGGAAUACCAAAAUGCCAGCAGUACCCAAAGCAACGUCUAACAAAGUGGUGUGGGAUGCAACUGCAGCUGAUCCUAAAUUGCUGGUCUUUUUGAAAUCGUACAGGAAUUUCUUACACACUGAAUCUGGGUAAACAUGGUAUCGAGAAACAACUGUUUCAGCUUCCUGAUUUCAUUGCUGCAACUGGUAGUGAGAAAAUUAGACAGGUAAAUUGGUCAUGAGUUUUUUUAUUUGGAUUAUUCUUUGAGCACCGCACAUAAGUGCUCCUCUUACUAUCAAUGAGAACUCUGACUCUUAUGUUCACACUGAUACAGAGACGUUCCUCAAUAGGAUAGUUCUUGAGGUUAGUAUGUUUACUGUAAUAUCUCAUACAGCCUUAGCAGCAUAUGACGUUUCCAUCUUUUUAUUUUUAGGGGGAAUCUGCAUUAUGGAGACUUGCCUGGCACGCAUUAAAUCAUCAAUGAGGAUCACUAUGGGGCACUCAUCCACCACCUCUCUUUAGUUCGCAACAAACGCUGAAGUUGAUGAACUGCGUAAUGAACUCACAAAUUAUGAGGUGAAGAACCUGCCAAAGUUGGGAAGUGUGUUGGGAUGAAUCAUUGUUGGUCUUUUUUGGGUAUAUGCAAGGUCUGAAGUGCAUUAGGCAAGAUGUUGGUCCUUUUUGGGUUGGCCUGAAUUGCAUUUCUUCUAUAGAUGUGAUCAUGUACGGAUGAGACUAUUUUAGCCACAUUUGUAGAUGUUUUUUUUUUUUGUAUGAGAGAUCCGUAGAUGUGAUCUUUUCUAUUUUUUGGAUACAAUUAGCAUUAUCGGAUCCAUUUAUGGGAUUAUAACAGCUAUUUAUUAUAAGAAAAUUAUUGUUCAUUUGGUCAA